rnacentral:rRNA from 1 species
GAUGAACGCUGGCUACAGGCUUAACACAUGCAAGUCGAGGGGAAACGACGGGGAAGCUUGCUUCCCCGGGCGUCGACCGGCGCACGGGUGAGUAACGCGUAUCCAACCUGCCUCUGACUGAGGGAUAACCCGUCGAAAGUCGGCCUAAUACCUCAUGGCAUCGUCUGCGGGCAUCCAACGACGAUUAAAGAUUUCAUCGGUCAGAGAUGGGGAUGCGUCUGAUUAGCUUGUUGGCGGGGUAACGGCCCACCAAGGCGACGAUCAGUAGGGGUUCUGAGAGGAAGGUCCCCCACAUUGGAACUGCGACACGGUCCAAACUCCUACGGGAGGCAGCAGUGAGGAAUAUUGGUCAAUGGGCGAGAGCCUGAACCAGCCAAGUAGCGUGCAGGAUGACGGCCCUAUGGGUUGUAAACUGCUUUUAUGCGGGGAUAAAGUGAGGGACGUGUCCUUCAUUGCAGGUACCGCAUGAAUAAGGACCGGCUAAUUCCGUG